GACGGGGCCGCACAAGCGGAGGACAUGUGGUUAAUUCGAUAAUACGCGAGGAACCUUACCCAGGCUCGAACGCCGAACGAAUACGGGGGAAACUCCGUAGCCAGCAAUGGCGGUCGGCGAGGUGCUGCAUGGUUGUCGUCAGCUCGUGCCGUGAGGUGUCGGCUUAAGUGCCAUAACGAGCGCAACCCCUAUCGGUAGUUGCCAGCGGGUUAUGCCGGGAACUCUACCGAGACUGCCAGCGCAAGCUGCGAGGAAGGCGGGGAUGACGUCAAAAUCAGCACGGCCCUUACGUCUGGGGCGACACACGUGUUACAAUGGCCGGUACAGAGGGCAGCCACCCAGCGAUGGGGCGCGAAUCUCAAAAGCCGGUCGUAGUCCGGAUCGGAGGCUGCAACCCGCCUCCGUGAAGCUGGAUUCGCUAGUAAUCGCAUAUCAGCCAUGAUCGCGUCGAUACGUUCCGGCCUUGUACACACCGCCCGUCAAACCAUGGGAGCUGGGGG
rnacentral:rRNA from 1 species